CCUACGGGAGGCAGCAGUAAGGAAUAUUGGUCAAUGGACGAAAGUCUGAACCAGCCAUCCCGCGUGCAGGAUGAAGGUCCUAUGGAUUGUAAACUGCUUUUAGCAGAGAAGAAAAGCAUCCUUUUAAGGGUGUCUGACGGUAUCUGCGGAAUAAGCACCGGCUAACUCCGUGCCAGCAGCCGCGGUAAUACGGAGGGUGCAAGCGUUAUCCGGAAUCACUGGGUUUAAAGGGUGCGUAGGCGGAAUAUUAAGUCAGUGGUGAAAGCCUGUCGCUUAACGAUAGAACUGCCAUUGAUACUGAUAUUCUUGAAUUGGGUUGAGGUUAGCGGAAUGUGACAUGUAGCGGUGAAAUGCAUAGAUAUGUCAUGGAACACCAAUUGCGAAGGCAGCUAGCUGGGCCUUGAUUGACGCUGAGGCACGAAAGCGUGGGUAGCGAACAGGAUUAGAUACCCUGGUAGUCCACGCCCUAAACGAUGCUAACUCGAUGUUUGGACUUAAGGUUUGAGCAUCCAAGGGAAACCGAUAAGUUAGCCACCUGGGGAGUACGACCGCAAGGUUGAAACUCAAAUGAAUUGACGG
rnacentral:rRNA from 1 species